rnacentral:rRNA from 1 species
AAGGCUAUGGGGGGUGCUAUAAUGCAAGUCGAGCGAAUGGAUUAAGAGCUUGCUCUUAUGAAGUUAGCGGCGGACGGGUGAGUAACACGUGGGUAACCUGCCCAUAAGACUGGGAUAACUCCGGGAAACCGGGGCUAAUACCGGAUAACAUUUUGAACCGCAUGGUUCGAAAUUGAAAGGCGGCUUCGGCUGUCACUUAUGGAUGGACCCGCGUCGCAUUAGCUAGUUGGUGAGGUAACGGGUCACAGCAACGUCGACGACUGCGUGAUCGCCUGAUGAACUGUCGAUCUACGAGGACGUCGGAUCUCGCAUGACAAGUCGACGAGCAGCCGUGAUAUGAAGGCUUCGGUCGUAAACUCUGUGUAUGAGACAUGCUAGUGAUUAGCUGGCACUUGACGUACUACCAGAAGGCACGCUAACUACGUGCAGCAGCGCGUUAUACGUAGUUGGCAGCGUUAUCCGGAAUUAUGGCGUAAAGCGCGCGCAGUGUUUCUUUAGUUUGAUGUGAAGCCCACGGCUCAUCGUGAGGGUCAUUGGAAACUGGGAGACUUGAGUGCAGAGAGGAAGUUGAAUUCCAUGUGUAGCGGUGAAAUGCGUAGAGAUAUGAGGACACCAGUGGGGAGGGGACUUUCUGUCUGUAACUGACAUGAGGCCGAAAGCGUGGGGAGCAAACAGGAUUGGUUACCCUGUUGUUCACGCCUUAAACGAUGAGUGCUAAGUGUUGAGGGUUUCGGCCCUUUGUGUGAAGUUAAGCAUUAAGCAUUCGCCUGGGGAGUAGGGCGCAAGGUGAAACUCAUAGAAUUGGCGGGGGCCCCGCCAGCGGUGGAGCAGUGGUUUAGUUGGAACCAACGGGAGGAACCUUACCAGGUUUUGACUUCUUUUGCCACCCUUGGGGUAGGGUUUUUCUUUGGGGGCGAAGUGCCAGUUGUGCCUUGGUGUUCUUCAGCUCGUUUCUGGGGAUGUUGGGUUAUUUCCGGAAAGGGGGCCAACCCUGGUUUUUGGUUGCCUCCAUUAAUUUGGCCAUUUUAAGGGGAUUCCGGGGGCCAACCCGGAGAAAGGGGGGGAGGAGUUAAAUUCUCCUUCCCCUUUUGGCCUUGGGUUCCCCACUGGUUCCAAUGGCGGUUCAAAGGGGUGCCAGGACCGGGGGGGGGAGUUAUUUUCUUAAACCCUUUUCCAUUUGGGAUUUUGGGUGCAAAUUGCCUUCCAGGAAGCGGGAUUCGUUGUUAUUGGGGGUCCACCAGGCCCCGGGAAUUAGGUUCCCGGCCUUGUUCCCCCCCCCCCGCCCCACCCGGGGAUUUGUUACCACCGAAAUUGGGGGGGUUACCUUUUUGGAGCCAGCCGCCUAAGGUGGGACAGAUGAUUGGGGGAAGUCGAACAAGUUGGCCUUGGUG